UACAGAGGUCCCAAGCGUUGUUCGGAUUCACUGGGCGUAAAGGGUGCGUAGGUGGCGAGGUAAGUCAGGUGUGAAAUUUCGGAGCUUAACUCCGAAACUGCAUUUGAUACUGCCUUGCUUGAGGACUGGAGAGGAGACUGGAAUUCACGGUGUAGCAGUGAAAUGCGUAGAUAUCGUGAGGAAGACCAGUGGCGAAGGCGGGUCUCUGGACAGUUCCUGACACUGAGGCACGAAGGCCAGGGGAGCAAACGGG
rnacentral:rRNA from 1 species